GAUGAACGCUGGCGGCGUGCUUAACACAUGCAAGUCGAGCGAGAAACUACAUGCAGACACUUCGGUAGAAGCGAGUAGCGGAAAGCGGCGGACGGGUGAGUAACGCGUAGGCAACCUGCCCUUCACAGAGGUAUAGCCUCGGGAAACCGGGAUUAAAACCACAUAAAAUCAUAGGUUCGCAUGAACCAAAGGUCAAAGAUUUAUCGGUGAAGGAUGGGCCUGCGUCUGAUUAGCUGGUUGGUAGGGUAAAAGCCUACCAAGGCGACGAUCAGUAGCCGACCUGAGAGGGUGAUCGGCCACAUUGGAACUGAGACACGGUCCAAACUCCUACGGGAGGCAGCAGUGGGGGAUAUUGCACAAUGGGGGAAACCCUGAUGCAGCAACGCCGCGUGAGGUAUGAAGGCCUUUGGGUUGUAAGCCUCUGUCCUAGGGGAAGAAAAAANGA
rnacentral:rRNA from 1 species